GUGCUCAUUUUGGCAGCACAUAUACUAAAACUGCAAUGACAGAGAAGAUUAGCAUGGCUCCUGUAUAAUACACACAAUUCUUGAAGUAUUCCCUAUUUAA
rnacentral:snRNA from 1 species